rnacentral:tRNA from 1 species
UGCCCGGUCGUCUAGUGGCAAGACACGCGGCUCUGGACCGCGGAACGGUGGUUCGAAUCCAUCCCGGGCAG